rnacentral:rRNA from 1 species
AGUAAGUCAGAAGGUAAUCUACGGGCUCAACCCGUAUCUCGCUGUUUGAUACUGUUCUUCUUGAGUACUGGAGAGGGAAACGGAAUUCCAGGUAUACCGGUGGAAUGCGUAGAUAUCUGGAAGAACACCAGUAGCGAAGGCGGUUUCCUGGCCACAUUACUGACGCUGAGGCUCGAAAGCGCUGGGGAGCAAACAGGAUUAGAUACCCUGGUAGUCCACGCCGUAAACGAUGGGCACUAGAUAUCGGGGAAUUCGAUUUCUUCGGUGUCGCAGUUAACGCGAUAAGUGCCCCGCCUGGCGGAGUACGCCCGCAAGGGUGAAACUCAAAGGAAUUGACGGGGGCCCGCACAAGCGGUGGGGCAUGCGCUUUAAUUCGAUGCAACGCGAAGAACCUUACCUGGGUUUGACAUGGGAGUGAAACUUCCCAGAGAUGGGAAGCCUUCCUUCGGGAACACUCCACACAGGUGCUGCAUGGUUGUCGUCAGCUCGUGUCGUGAGAUGUUGGGUUAAGUCCCGCAACGAGCGCAACCCUCGCCCUUAGUUGCCAUCAGGUAAUGCUGGGAACUCUAAGGGGACCGCCUGGAACAACCAGGAGCACGGUGGGGAUGAUGUCAAAUCAUCAUGGCUCUUACGUCCAGGGCUAGACGCGUGCUACAAUGGUCGGUACAGAAGGAUGCCAAGUCGUGAGACUGAGCUAAUUCAUGAAAACCGGCUUCAGUUCGGAUUGGAGUCUGCAAUUCGACUCCAUGAAGGUGGAAUCGCUAGUAAUCGCAGGAUCAGCAUCCCGCGCCUGAAUAUGUUCCCGGGCCUUGUACACACACGCCCGUCAAGCCACGAAAGAUGG